rnacentral:tRNA from 1 species
UAGCUCAGUUGGUUAGAGCAACCGGCUCAUAACCGGUUGGUCGCAGGUUCGAGUCC